rnacentral:rRNA from 1 species
UAGAGUUUGAUCCUGGCUCAGGAUAAACGCUGGCGGCGCACAUAAGACAUGCAAGUCGAACGAACUUAAUAUCUUGCUUGCAAGAUAAGCGGUUAGUGGCGGACUGGUGAGUAACACGUAAGCAACCUGCCUAUCAGAGGGGAAUAACAGUGAGAAAUCAUUGCUAAUACCGCAUAAGCUAGUGGUAUCACAUGAUACAGCUAGAAAAGGAGUAAUCCGCUGAUAGAUGGGCUUGCGCCUGAUUAGCUAGUUGGUGGGGUAACGGCCUACCAAGGCGACGAUCAGUAGCCGAACUGAGAGGUUGAACGGCCACAUUGGGACUGAGACACGGUCCAAACUCCUACGGGAGGCAGCAGUGAGGAAUAUUGGUCAAUGGCCGGAAGGCUGAACCAGCCAAGUCGCGUGAGGGAAUAAGGCCCUACGGGUCGUAAACCUCUUUUGCCAGGGAGCAAUGCCGUCCACGUGUGGACGGAAGGAGAGUACCUGGAGAAAAAGCAUCGGCUAACUCCGUGCCAGCAGCCGCGGUAAUACGGAGGAUGCGAGCGUUAUCCGGAUUUAUUGGGUUUAAAGGGUGCGUAGGCGGCCUGCCAAGUCAGCGGUAAAAUUGCGGGGCUCAACCCCGUACAGCCGUUGAAACUGCCGGGCUCGAGUGGGCGAGAAGUAUGCGGAAUGCGUGGUGUAGCGGUGAAAUGCAUAGAUAUCACGCAGAACCCCGAUUGCGAAGGCAGCAUACCGGCGCCCGACUGACGCUGAGGCACGAAAGUGCGGGGAUCAAACAGGAUUAGAUACCCUGGUAGUCCGCACAGUAAACGAUGAAUGCUAGCUGUCCGGGGGGAUUGACCCCUGGGUGGCACAGCGAAAGCGUUAAGUAUUCCACCUGGGGAGUACGCCGGCAACGGUGAAACUCAAAGGAAUUGACGGGGGCCCGCACAAGCGGAGGAACAUGUGGUUUAAUUCGAUGAUACGCGAGGAACCUUACCCGGGCUCAAACGACACAGGAAUACUUUUGAAAGGAAGUAGCUCUACGGAGCCUGUGUCGAGGUGCUGCAUGGUUGUCGUCAGCUCGUGCCGUGAGGUGUCGGCUUAAGUGCCAUAACGAGCGCAACCCCCAUCGCCAGUUACCAGCAAGUCAAGUUGGGGACUCUGGCGAGACUGCCGGCGCAAGCUGUGAGGAAGGCGGGGAUGACGUCAAAUCAGCACGGCCCUUACGUCCGGGGCGACACACGUGUUACAAUGGCAGGUACAGAGAGAAGCAAUGCGGCGACGCAAAGCGGAACUUGAAAGCCUGUCUCAGUUCGGAUUGGAGUCUGCAACUCGACUCCAUGAAGCUGGAUUCGCUAGUAAUCGCGCAUCAGCCAUGGCGCGGUGAAUACGUUCCCGGGCCUUGUACACACCGCCCGUCAAGCCAUGGAAGCCGGGAGUGCCUGAAGUGUGCAACCGCAAGGAGCGCCCUAAGGUAAAACUGGUGACUGGGGCUAAGUCGUAACAAGGUAACCGUA